UACUUGACCUUCAGCAGAACUGGACUUGAGUAGACCAAGCAAAGGAGGAAUGCAACCUCCAAGCAAGACUUUCACCCUAAGCUCAUUUUCUUUACAAAGUGAGCCCAAGACAGUUGCUGCCUGUAUCUUCACAUUCAAUGACCCUGACCGGAGAAGGGAAACAAGUACUGGAACUGCCUGAGAAUGAGAGCCAACAGCACUGAAAGCGUUUUCUC
rnacentral:misc_RNA from 1 species